GAAAUUACUCUUUUAUUUAUUUAUGCUUUCAUGGUAUCACCAUCUCUUCAAUUUGAUAUUAAGGAACUGGGCUUGGGUUGAGCAUUCUUCACUCAUGUUUCAUUUUUCGUCAUUUUUUUCUCUGAUGUCAAACCUUUUCCCCUGCAGACCUCAGCAAAUCACAGGUUGAUAGAACGUCUUUUUGUUAUACGAUAAAAAUGGCCCAUGUUUUCUUAGUACAUUUGUUUCCUCAGUCACACAAUAUGUGUUGAGCCUUACAUACUGCCUUACUUCCUGGAGACCAAGUGCUUAUAUGUGGGACUCAUGCACACCUAGUUUGAACAACUAAGCCUUUCUCUUACCCUUUAAUUUGCUCUGCCUCAACAUCAACAUGGUGAAGGCUGCCUCACUUGCUUUAUUCAUUUCAUUUGCUACUAUUUCUUCCUCGCAGGUCAAUCCAGCACCCAGCAAUUGCUACACAGGAUGUGACUACAAUAACACAUGGAGUCAGAUAGCUCAGAGCUGUGGCCCAUUUCUAUUGAACCAAUCUGAUGAUCCAACGAACGAGUGCUGCUCGGUCUGCCGGGCUCUUUCGAGUGAUCGACUCUCAUGCGCAUGCAGUACCUGCCCACCCUACGUGCACAAGUUCAACAUGACGCGAUUUCUCACACUAGCCAAUGCGAUCGAUCCCAGGUUUGGAACACCGCUGUGCUGUGAAUGCGAUGGUAUACCAGCCAGUUUCCCCUUCCCAUCAGGAAAUUGAGAAAAGUGUGGGGUUCAGUGCCACCUAUGUAGGUGGUCUGUUUUAGACGGGACAGAGUGAGCCGUGAGGAGCAUGAGCCAUGAAGUUGAUGAAGGCAGUAUGUUGUGGAUGUGUCGUGGAAUAAGCACUGAAACUGGGGCCUUUCUGAACCUGGAAGCCCAAAAUGUUCUUGUGCAUGUUUGAACUAUUUUAAUAUAUGCUUGUAAUGGUAAUCCAUAUUGAUGCA